rnacentral:rRNA from 1 species
CUACUUGAUGCAUAUUGCUUGGCUUCAGGCCAAAGGGUAAACUAUGAUAAAUCGUCCAUAUUUUUCAGUAAGGGAUGCCCGGAGACCCUUAGGGUGGAGAUAAAGAAUAUACUUAAUGUGCAGAAUGAGUCUUUGAGUGAAAAGUAUUUGGGUCUGCCGACCGAUGUUGGACAGUUCAAAAAUGGCACCUUCAAAUAUUUACGAGACAGAGUUUGGGAAAGGAUA